ACGGGUAGCCGGCCUGAGAGGGUGACCGGCCACACUGGGACUGAGACACGGCCCAGACUCCUACGGGAGGCAGCAGUGGGGAAUAUUGCACAAUGGGCGAAAGCCUGAUGCAGCAACGCCGCGUGAGGGACGACGGCCUUCGGGUUGUAAACCUCUUUUAGCAGGGAAGAAGCGAAAGUGACGGUACCUGCAGAAAAAGCACCGGCUAACUACGUGCCAGCAGCCGCGGUAAUACGUAGGGUGCAAGCGUUGUCCGGAAUUAUUGGGCGUAAAGAGCUCGUAGGCGGUUUGUCGCGUCUGCUGUGAAAUCCCGAGGCUCAACCUCGGGUCUGCAGUGGGUACGGGCAGACUAGAGUGCGGUAGGGGAGAUUGGAAUUCCUGGUGUAGCGGUGGAAUGCGCAGAUAUCAGGAGGAACACCGAUGGCGAAGGCAGAUCUCUGGGCCGUAACUGACGCUGAGGAGCGAAAGGGUGGGGAGCAA
rnacentral:rRNA from 1 species